rnacentral:rRNA from 1 species
UGGCGGACGGGUGAGUAACGCGUGGAAAACCUGCCGUAUACUGGGGGAUAACACUUAGAAAUAGGUGCCAAUACCGCAUAAGCGCACAGCUUCGCAUGAAGCGGUGUGAAAAACUCUGGUGGUAUACGAUGGUUCCGCGUCUGAUUAGCUAGUUGGUGGGGUAAUGGCCUACCAAGGCAACGAUCAGUAGCCGGCCUGAGAGGGUGAACGGCCACAUUGGGACUGAGACACGGCCCAAACUCCUACGGAAGGCAGCAG